AUAAUGGGUCAGCGACUUAUAUUCUGUAGCAAGGUUAACCGUAUAGGGGAGCCGUAGGGAAACCGAGUCUUAACCGGGCGUUAAGUUGCAGGGUAUAGACCCGAAACCCGGUGAUCUAGCCAUGGGCAGGUUGAAGGUUGGGUAACACUAACUGGAGGACCGAACCGACUAAUGUUGAAAAAUUAGCGGAUGACCUGUGGCUGGGGGUGAAAGGCCAAUCAAACCGGGAGAUAGCUGGUUCUCCCCGAAAGCUAUUUAGGUAGCGCCUCGUGAAUUCAUCUCCGGGGGUAGAGCACUGUUUCGGCUAGGGGGCCAUCCCGGCUUACCAACCCGAUGCAAACUGCGAAUACCGGAGAAUGUUAUCACGGGAGACACACGGCGGGUGCUAACGUCCGUCGUGAAGAGGGAAACAACCCAGACCGCCAGCUAAGGUCCCAAAGUCAUGGUUAAGUGGGAAACGAUGUGGGAAGGCCCAGACAGCCAGGAUGUUGGCUUAGAAGCAGCCAUCAUUUAAAGAAAGCGUAAUAGCUCACUGGUCGAGUCGGCCUGCGCGGAAGAUGUAACGGGGCUAAACCAUGCACCGAAGCUGCGGCAGCGACACUGUGUGUUGUUGGGUAGGGGAGCGUUCUGUAAGCCUGUGAAGGUGGCCUGUGAGGGUUGCUGGAGGUAUCAGAAGUGCGAAUGCUGACAUAAGUAACGAUAAAGCGGGUGAAAAGCCCGCUCGCCGGAAGACCAAGGGUUCCUGUCCAACGUUAAUCGGGGCAGGGUGAGUCGACCCCUAAGGCGAGGCCGAAAGGCGUAGUCGAUGGGAAACGGGUUAAUAUUCCCGUACUUGGUGUUACUGCGAAGGGGGGACGGAGAAGGCUAUGUUGGCCGGGCGACGGUUGUCCCGGUUUAAGCGUGUAGGUGUGUGUUCCAGGUAAAUCCGGUUCACUUUAACACUGAGGCGUGACGACGAGGCACUACGGUGCUGAAGCAACAAAUGCCCUGCUUCCAGGAAAAGCCUCUAAGCAUCAGGUAACAUCAAAUCGUACCCCAAACCGACACAGGUGGUCAGGUAGAGAAUACCAAGGCGCUUGAGAGAACUCGGGUGAAGGAACUAGGCAAAAUGGUGCCGUAACUUCGGGAGAAGGCACGCUGACACGUAGGUGAAGUGAUUUACUCAUGGAGCUGAAGUCAGUCGAAGAUACCAGCUGGCUGCAACUGUUUAUUAAAAACACAGCACUGUGCAAACACGAAAGUGGACGUAUACGGUGUGACGCCUGCCCGGUGCCGGAAGGUUAAUUGAUGGGGUCAGCGCAAGCGAAGCUCCUGAUCGAAGCCCCGGUAAACGGCGGCCGUAACUAUAACGGUCCUAAGGUAGCGAAAUUCCUUGUCGGGUAAGUUCCGACCUGCACGAAUGGCGUAAUGAUGGCCAGGCUGUCUCCACCCGAGACUCAGUGAAAUUGAACUCGCUGUGAAGAUGCAGUGUACCCGCGGCAAGACGGAAAGACCCCGUGAACCUUUACUAUAGCUUGACACUGAACAUUGAGCCUUGAUGUGUAGGAUAGGUGGGAGGCUUUGAAGUGUGGACGCCAGUCUGCAUGGAGCCGACCUUGAAAUACCACCCUUUAAUGUUUGAUGUUCUAACGUGGACCCGUAA
rnacentral:rRNA from 1 species